GUCUAUGGCCACGCCGCCCUGAACAAGCCCGAUCCCAUCUGAUCUCGGAAGCUAAGCAGGAUUGGGCCUGGUUAGUACUUGGAUGAGAGACUACCUAGGAAGACCAGGUGCUGUAGGCA
rnacentral:rRNA from 1 species